CGUGCAGGCGGCUCUAUGAGUCAGAUGUGAAAGCCCCAGGCUCAACCUGGGAAUUGCGUUUGAUACCGUAGAGCUUGAGGCCGGGAGAGGGAAGUGGAAUUCCUGGUGUAGCGGUGAAAUGCGUAGAUAUCAGGAGGAACACCGGUGGCGAAGGCGGCUUCCUGGACCGGUUCUGACGCUGAGACGACGAAAGCGGUGGGGAGCGAACG
rnacentral:rRNA from 1 species